AAUUAAAGAUCAAAUUUAUUCAUUACAUUCUUAUAGGGUCGAGGAGUGUAUAUGUACAAAAUCAUCAAAAUCAAAACUAAAAUAACCGUUAAAUUGUGAUUUUUCGUUUAUAACCGUCGAAAACUUUUGUUCAGUUACAUAAUCUCUGAAUGUUUGUUUUUUACGAUUUUUUAUGUAUGUGAUCUCGGAAUGUGUACAAAUAAGUUUGACGGUUGGAUCUUUGAAAAAAGUUUCGUAGAAUGCAUAUUGCAUCAAAACGGUAGAUUAAACAAACACUUAGAGUUAAUAUUAUACUUCUAUUAAGUAUAAAAUAAGUUUUUGUGGUAUCCACUAGUGUAAAUACUUUAAAUUAAAGAUCAAAUUUAUUCAUUACAUUCUUAUAGGGUCGAGGAUUGUAUCUGUACAAAAUCAUCAAAAUCGGAGCUCAAAUAACCGUUAAAUUGUGAUUUUUCAUUUAUAACCGUCGAAAACUUUUGUUCGGUUACGUAAUCUCUGAAUGCUUGUUUUUUUAUGAUUUUUUAUGUAUACAAUCUCGGAAUGUGUACAAAUAAGUUUGAUGGUUGGAUCUUUGAAAAAAGUUUUGUAGAAUGCAUAUUGCGUCAAAACAGUAGAUUAAACAAACACUUAGAGUUAAUAUUAUACUUCUAUUAAGUAUAAAAUAAGUUUUUGUGGUAUCCACUAGUGUAAAUAUUUUAAAUUAAAGAACAAAUUUAUUCAUUACAUUCUUAUAUGGUCGAGGAGUGUAUCUGUAAAAAAAUCAUCAAAAUCGGAGUUAAAAUAACCGUUAAGAGCAACUCCACCCAUGGAGCCUUUCCCCCUGGCAAUCCACUAUUGAAUCCACCAUUUUGAACAGUAACUACCUUUAAUGAAUAGUAACUGUCAUUAAUGAACAGUAAUUGCCAUUUGCAUCUCCACCCUUGGAGCCCUCCCCCCUGGCAAUAGGCAAUAAAAUAUUUUUUUUUUGUUUAAAUAAUACAAAAUAAAAUUAUUUGUAAUUUCGGAUAAGAUUUUUUAAAUCGUUCUCGUUGUGCCACGUGUCAUUUUAUAAAAAAAAAACAAUUAUUUAGCGAUGGAUUUCGAUAAGAUUUUUAUCCAAUGUCAUCGUGUCACGUGUCGUUAUCUUUUGAGAAUCUUUGACGAUAGAUUUUGAUCAGAUUUUAACUCGUUCAAAAUUGCGCAACGUGUCAUUAUCCGAAAAUAUAAUUAUUGGAGAUCGAUUUCGAUAAGAUUUUUAUCCA
rnacentral:lncRNA from 1 species